UGAGGAAUAUUGCGCAAUGGGCGAAAGCCUGACGCAGCGACGCCGCGUGGAGGAUGAAGGUUUUCGGAUUGUAAACUCCUGUUAAGUGGGAAGAAACGACAAAAUAUAAUACAUUUUGUAACUGACGGUACCAUUAAAGAAAGCACCGGCUAACUUCGUGCCAGCAGCCGCGGUAAUACGAGGGGUGCAAGCGUUAUUCGGAAUUAUUGGGCGUAAAGGGUGCGUAGGCGGCGUAUUAAGUCAACUGUUAAAACCUCCAGCCUAACUGGAGAUCAGCAGUAGAUACUGGUAUGCUAGAGGAUGGAAGAGAGAAGUGGAAUUCUUGGAGUAGCGGUGGAAUGCGUAGAUCUCAAGAGGAACACCAAUGGCGAAGGCAGCUUCUUGGUCCAUAUCUGACGCUGAUGCACGAAAGCGUGGGGAGCAAACAGGAUUAGAUACCCUGGUAGUCCACGCCGUAAACGAUGAUCACUAGAUGUUAAUUCUGCUUGCAGAAUUAGUGUCGUAGCUAACGCGAUAAGUGAUCCGCCUGGGGGACUACGGUCGCAAGAUUAAAACUUAAAUGAAUUGACGGGGUCAUAGCUG
rnacentral:rRNA from 1 species